UCCUUUAACAAAAUAAACACUCUUCUCUCUCUCUCGUAAGCGAAAAACAAAAUCCGAGAAUUAGGGUUUCUUCUUGACAUCACUGUUCGAUUUCGUUUCCUCUCUGUUUCCAAUCCCGAAAACUAGGGUUUUUUUUUAGCAAUGGCGACAGCAACAAGUCUGGGUCGUGAUCCUCCGCUGUUCUCGUCUUCCUCAAAAUCUGAUCGUGCGGCAGCGAUAAAGAUUAGGUUUGCGGAUAUCAUUGUCAAAUCGAGUAGAAACAAGUCUGAAGCUAUGAUGAAGAUCAAAAGGGAGAAGCAACUUCUGAAGAAGAAGAAGCUUCAAGAAAAGGCAAGAAUCGAAGCAAGAAUGAGAAUGAGAAUGAGACAAGAGGCAAGGCUUGCGGUGCUGAAGGUGGAAGAAGAAGAAGCAAGAUCAGAGUGAUGGAUUGACCAGGCUUUGAGCUUGGAAGUGACCAACCUUCAUUCUCUUCACAGCAAACAAACGCACAGAGUAACAAGGCAUUACGCUUUUUUUUUUCUUAUAGCUGAUUGAUCAUGUAAAGUAGAAGAUCCAAGGCUAGGCUUUCCAUCAACCUACAAAGAUCAGAGGAGUGAUAGCUGCAGGUUGAGGCCCAUGGAAGCUUCAUUGUGCAAAGGCUAGUCUUGUUUUCAAAUAGUAGAAUAUCUAAUGUCUCUCAGUGUAGUCGACAUCAAAAUACAUGUGUAAUGAUUGAAGGAUCGGUUGAGGUGGCUGCGAAGGAGGAGUUUGUUUCCAAUUUGGAAGUUCCAGUUAAAAAAAUGAUUAUUGUAUGAACUUUAUAAUUUAUGUUAAUUUUUCAUCAUCUUAAUCCACGUAAUUCAUGUA